GGCAUGGCCUAAGGUCAUGGCCUGCAAGCACAAAAGGCAGCAGCCUUACCCUAACUGUGUUGGCAACAUAUGAAUUAAAUGAAGGAAGCACGUAUGACUCAGUAGACUGAUGUCGUUUUUCUAUCCUAACAACUGCAAAGAAGGUAUAAUUUAUGUUGGCUGCCAAAUGCUGCUGCUGAAGCCACAGAAGCUCUGCUACAAAAAAAGAAAAAAAGAAGAAGAAUGGCAAUCUUGAUACAAGAGGGCCUUGAUCUUCACUAGGUGGGUCACAUUAGUAAGGCCAAAAACAUCUUUUGGAGUGGAAAGGAGGUACUGAGAGAGAGAGAGACAUAGGUAGAGUGACAGAUAAAGGUUAAAAUAAUUUACAGAAUAAAAAUUAAACAUGAAUGUUAUGUCAAAAGUAGGGUUGCCACAUUUAUCAUAGAGAAUUCCUGGACUCCA